GGAUUAGAUACCCUGGUAGUCCACGCCGUAAACGAUGAUUACUAGAUGUUGCGGGUACUGACUCCCGCAGUGUCGCAGCUAACGCAUUAAGUAAUCCGCCUGGGAACUACGGCCGCAAGGCUAAAACUCAAAGGAAUUGACGGGGGCCCGCACAAGCGGUGGAGCAUGUGGUUUAAUUCGACGCAACGCGCAGAACCUUACCCAGCCUUGACAUCCUUGGAAUCUUCUAGAGAUAGAGGAGUGCCCUUCGGGGAACCAGGUGACAGGUGCUGCAUGGCUGUCGUCAGCUCGUGCCG
rnacentral:rRNA from 1 species